rnacentral:rRNA from 1 species
GACGAACGCUGGCGGCGUGCUUAACACAUGCAAGUCGAACGGAAAGGCCCCUAUGGGGGUACUCGAGGGGCGAACGGGGGAGUAACACGGGAGUAACCUGCCCUUGACAUCGGGAUAACUGCAGGAAACUGGGGCUAAUACCGGAAAGGCAUCAUUGCAGCAUGGUGGGGGUUGGAAAGCUCCGGCGGCUUUGGAUGGACUCGCGGCCUAUCAGCUUGUUGGUGGGGUAGUGGCGUACCAGGGCGCUGAGGGGUAGCCGGCCUGUGGGGGCGACCGGCCGCACUGGGACUGAGGGGCGGCCCCGGCUGCUACUGGAGGCCGCUGUGCGGAAUCUUGCUCAAUGGGCGGCAGCCUGAUGCAGCAACGCCGCGUGCGGUAUGACGGCCUUCGGGUUGUAGACCGCUUUCAGCAGGGGCGAAGCUUGUGGUGACGGUACCUGCAGAAGAAGCACCGGCUAACUACGUG